rnacentral:rRNA from 1 species
AGAGUUUGAUCCUGGCUCAGAUUGAACGCUGGCGGCAUGCCUUACACAUGCAAGUCGAACGGUAACAGGUCUUCGGAUGCUGACGAGUGGCGAACGGGUGAGUAAUACAUCGGAACGUGCCCAGUAAUGGGGGAUAGCUCGGCGAAAGCCGGAUUAAUACCGCAUACGCCCUGAGGGGGAAAGUGGGGGACCGCAAGGCCCCACGUUAUUGGAGCGGCCGAUGGCUGAUUAGCUAGUUGGUAGGGUAAAGGCCUACCAAGGCGACGAUCAGUAGCUGGUCUGAGAGGACGAUCAGCCACACUGGGACUGAGACACGGCCCAGACUCCUACGGGAGGCAGCAGUGGGGAAUUUUGGACAAUGGGGGAAACCCUGAUCCAGCAAUGCCGCGUGUGCGAAGAAGGCCUUCGGGUUGUAAAGCACUUUUGUCAGGGAAGAAAUCCUUUGGGCUAAUACCCUAGGGGGAUGACGGUACCUGAAGAAUAAGCACCGGCUAACUACGUGCCAGCAGCCACGGUAAUACGUAGGGUGCAAGCGUUAAUCGGAAUUACUGGGCGUAAAGCGUGCGCAGGCGGUUGUGUAAGACAGGUGUGAAAUCCCCGGGCUUAACCUGGGAAUUGCAUUUGUGACUGCACGACUAGAGUGUGUCAGAGGGGGGUGGAAUUCCACGUGUAGCAGUGAAAUGCGUAGAUAUGUGGAGGAACACCAAUGGCGAAGGCAGCCCCCUGGGAUAACACUGACGCUCAUGCACGAAAGCGUGGGGAGCAAACAGGAUUAGAUACCCCGGUAGUCC